rnacentral:rRNA from 1 species
GAUGAACGCUGGCGGCGUGCCUAAUACAUGCAAGUCGAGCGAACAGACGAGGAGCUUGCUCCUCUGACGUUAGCGGCGGACGGGUGAGUAACACGUGGAUCACCUACCUAUAUGACUGGGAUAACUUCGGGAAACCGGAGCUAAUACCGGAUAAUAUAUUGAACCGCACGGUUCAAUAGUGAAAGACGGUUUUGCUGUCACUUAUAGAUGGAUCCGCGCCGCAUUAGCUAGUUGGUAAGGUAACGGCUUACCAAGGCAACGAUGCGUAGCCGACCUGAGAGGGUGAUCGGCCACACUGGAACUGAGACACGGUCCAGACUCCUACGGGAGGCAGCAGUAGGGAAUCUUCCGCAAUGGGCGAAAGCCUGACGGAGCAACGCCGCGUGAGUGAUGAAGGUCUUCGGAUCGUAAAACUCUGUUAUUAGGGAAGAACAAAUGUGUAAGUAACUAUGCACGUCUUGACGGUACCUAAUCAGAAAGCCACGGCUAACUACGUG